AAAAUGGCGUUGAUGAGGAGGAGUACAUACUCACCCGAAGCACAGAGAGAAGAUGGUUGGUGCAAAUCUUCGUGACGGGAGUAUGGAAGUAGCCUUUGAGCUGUGAACCGAAAAGAUACUAUCUGAGUAGACUUCACCGGAAAUUUCCACCGUUAAAAGGGAAGCGGUAUCGGAUGAUCUUAAUAAUCAAUUAUCCCGUAUCGGCAGAGAGCAGAUAGUCAUAUCUGAAUUUAGGUGGUACCACGGACGCAUACAGUUCGCCCUAAGC
rnacentral:ncRNA from 1 species